rnacentral:rRNA from 1 species
GACGAACGCUGGCGGCGUGCUUAACACAUGCAAGUCGAACGAAGAGCGAUGGAAGCUUGCUUCUAUCAAUCUUAGUGGCGAACGGGUGAGUAACGCGUAAUCAACCUGCCCUUCAGAGGGGGACAACAGUUGGAAACGACUGCUAAUACCGCAUACGAUCUAAUCUCGGCAUCGAGGAUAGAUGAAAGGUGGCCUCUACAUGUAAGCUAUCACUGAAGGAGGGGAUUGCGUCUGAUUAGCGAGUUGGAGGGGUAACGGCCCACCAAGGCGAUGAUCAGUAGCCGGUCUGAGAGGAUGAACGGCCACAUUGGGACUGGGACACGGCCCAGACUCCUACGGGAGGCAGCAGUGGGGAAUCUUCCGCAAUGGACGAAAGUCUGACGGAGCAACGCCGCGUGAGUGAUGACGGCCUUCGGGUUGUAAAGCUCUGUUAAUCGGGACGAAAGGCCUUCUUGCGAAUAGUGAGAAGGAUUGACGGUACCGGAAUAGAAAGCCGCGGCUAACUACGUG